rnacentral:rRNA from 1 species
AGCAGCCGCGGUAAUUCCAGCUCCAAUAGCGUAUAUUAAAGUUGUUGCAGUUAAAAAGCUCGUAGUUGAAUUUCGGGGUUAGUAGAUUGGUCAUGCCUCUGGUAUGCACUGGUCUUACUGAUUCCCCCUUCCUGAUGAACCGUAAUGCCAUUAAUUUGGUGUUACGGGGAGUCAGGACUGUUACUUUGAAAAAAUUAGAGUGUUUAAAGCAGGCAAUCGCUUGAAUACAUUAGCAUGGAAUAAUGAAAUAGGACGUUCGAACCUAUUUUGUUGGUUUUUAGGAUCGACGUAAUGAUUAAUAGGGAUAGUUGGGGGCAUUAGUAUUCAAUUGUCAGAGGUGAAAUUCUUGGAUUUAUUGAAGACUAACUACUGCGAAAGCAUUUGCCAAGGAUGUUUUCAUUAAUCAAGAACGAAAGUUAGGGGAUCGAAGGCGAUCAGAUACCGUCGUAGUCUUAACCAUAAACUAUGCCGACUAGGGAUCGGAUGAUGUUAAUUUUAUAAUGACUCA